UUGUGUAGGGUUUAGUGGUUAGCAUGUUCGCCUCACACCUCCACGGUCGGGGGUUCGAUUCCCUGUGUGUGUG